rnacentral:rRNA from 1 species
AGAGUUUGAUCAUGGCUCAGGAUGAACGCUGGCGACGUGGAUAAGGCAUGCAAGUCGAGGGCCCCUUCGGGGGACCGGCAGAAUGGGUAGUAACGCGUAGGAACAUACCCCAGAGACAGGGAUAACCGUAGGAAACUGCGGCUAAUACCUGAUAGUCUCGCAAGAGUAAAGUUUUUUCGCUCUGGGAGUGUCCUGCGUCGCAUCAGCUUGUUGGUAAGGUAACGGCUUACCAAGGCUACGACGCGUGGGGGGGCUGAGAGGCUGAUCCCCACCAAUGGAACUGAAACACGGUCCAUACUCCUACGGGAGGCUGCAGUCGAGAAUCGUCCGCAAUGCUCGAAAGAGUGACGGCGCGACGUCGCGUGAUGGAUGAAGCACUUCGGUGUGUAAACAUCUUUUCUGAAGGAAGAAGUUUAUUGACAUUACUUCAGGUAAUAAGGGGUUCCCAAAUUCGUGCCAGCAGGAGCGGUAACACGAAUACCCCGAGCGUUAUCCGGAAUUACUGGGCGUAAAGGGUCCGCAGGCGGCUCUGUUAGUCCGGCGUUAAAUCACGAGGCUUAACCUCGUGGCCGCGUCGGAAACGGCAGAGCUAGAGGAUGUGAGGGGUGAGUGGAACCGACGGUGUAGGGGUGAAAUCCGUUGAUAUCGUCGGGAACACCAAAAGCGAAGGCAACUCACUGGCACAUUUCUGACGCUCAUGGACGAAAGCUAAGGUAGCGAACGGGAUUAGAUACCCCGGUAGUCUUAGCCGUAAACGCUGUUCACUAGCUUUGGGAGGCAUCGACCCCUUCCGAGGCGAANGUAACCCGUUAAGUGAACCGCCUGGGUACUACGAUCGCAAGAUUAAAACUCAAAGGAAUAGA